AAAAGUAAUGUGGCCCAAAAUGAAAGCCUUUAGCAUGGUAUGCCUUGUUUUGGCUACAAUUCUUGUUCUCUCCUCCUCUUCAACUGUUGCUGGACGAUUACUUGGAACUUUCCAGCUCAAUGACUAUCAUUGCCCAAAAGGAGACAACCCAGCGACAGCGGAAUGCGACAAACUUCCAGAGAUCAUACCGCCUUGUACAGUUAAGGGUUGCUAGAGCAACACUACUUGAAAAUUAGAAUCUCCUGAUGCUUACUCUGUGUAAAAGUAAAACAAUCAUACAAUGGAAAGAAGGUUUUUAAUGUGAUGUUUGUUCAGUUUUUGUAAACAUGUUAUUAAAUAAUUUGCAGCCUUGUCUACAGUAACAGUAUCAUGUAAUCCUUUUGCUGGAGGUUACAUAGUUAAUACUACAAAAUUGUUAUCUUUGGCAUAUGCUGAAAGAGUAGGUUUUCUGCUUGCUCGUUUCAGAGUUUACUCCCUAGUAUAAUUCUUAUUUGAAAUGAAGAAUGACGAUUUAAUCUUUCAAAA